UACGUAGGGGGCUAGCGUUGUCCGGAAUCAUUGGGCGUAAAGCGCGCGUAGGCGGCCAGAUAAGUCCGGUGUGAAAGCCACAGGCUCAACCUGUGAAUGCCGCUGGAAACUGUCUGGCUAGAGUCCGGGAGGGGCGAGUGGAAUUCCUGGUGUAGCGGUGAAAUGCGCAGAUAUCAGGAGGAACACCAAUGGCGAAGGCAGCUCGCUGGAACGGUACUGACGCUGAGACGCGAAAGCGUGGGGAGCGAACAGG
rnacentral:rRNA from 1 species